rnacentral:rRNA from 1 species
UACGUAGGUGGCAAGCGUUGUCCGGAUUUACUGGGCGUAAAGAGCGCGCAGGCGGUCGUAUAAGUCGAAUGUGAAAGCCCCCGGCUCAACUGGGGAGGGUCAUUCGAUACUGUUCGACUCGAAGGCAGGAGAGGGAAGUGGAAUUCCGGGUGUAGUGGUGAAAUGCGUAGAUAUCCGGAGGAACACCAGUGGCGAAGGCGGCUUUCUGGUCCUUAACUGACGCUGAGGCGCGAAAGCAUGGGGAGCGAACGGG